CGGGGUCCCUGGGCUUUCCCCUAGGGUCCCAUCAGCUGCUUAUGUUCUACCUUCUGACGGAUCACAGGAGGAGCCUGCAGCGGAGGAGCCUCCUCCUCCUCAGCAUCAGACCUAAAGGGAGUGUCCUGCCUGAAGGACCGGCUCAAGGUCGCACUAACAGCUCUUGCUAACUCCUGUUCCAGGCUGUUUAUCUGGGCCUCCAAGUACCCUGCUUGCGCCUGGAGGUCUCUCACCCCCAGGUCCUGCUCAAAGCUGUGCACUUGGGCCCCCAGGCAUGCGGCUUGCUCCGGAAGGUCCCUUACCUGUGGCACUGAGCAUGUACUUCCUGCAGUGCAGUUAGAAAUGCCCAUCCGACUCUGCUUGCAAAGUGCAGAGAGGGAGACACCCUUACAAAUGGAGAUUUGCUGGAUAGAAAUGUGGCCAAAGAGUUCAAUAAAAGGUUCCUUUAUUUAUAGGCACAGCUGCUUAAAGACUGUUACCGGAAAGGAAUCCUGAUCCAGACGCCAAGAGAGGGUUCUUGGACUCAUGCAAGAAAGACUUCAGAAUACGAGUUUUGAAUUUUUGAAUUGCUGUUAAAACUUUCAUCAUGAACACUGAAGUGAGUGAAAAGAGACUUUUGCAGUCAUUUUUUUGGACAGAGAUCAUGGAAGUUGGGCCCGACUGGAUGAGAUUUGGGGGUCUUUGGAAGUGGAGAAUGUGUUUGCCCUGGGGAAGAGAGGUGAUGUCUAGGAGACCUCUUCACUCAGGGCAAGCUCUAUGACCUGCUUUGACUCCAGAAUGUGGUAGAAGUGGCAUCACAUAAAUUGCAGAGCCUAGGCUUCAAGAGACCUUGCAACUUGCCUCUCACUGACUUGAAGUGCUCCCAUCAGAGCAUCUUGUAAGGAGCAGGUGGAGCAUGUGGACAAGCCAUCCCCACCAGCCCCUGAGACAUGUGAGAGAGGCCAGAACAGGCCAUCCGGACCCCACUGUGCUGGUGGAUGAGACAGCAGAAGGAAUAUCAACCUACCAACAGAAUCCUGAGAAAUGCUCACUCUUACUUCAAGCUGCUGCAUUUUGAUGUUAUGAAACCAUAAAUAACUUAUGAAGUCAUCUUUGCUGACUUAAAGUUUUCCAUAACUUUAUUAUAACAUAUCAAAAUUAUGAAAAAUGUGAAAAGUAGAAAACUGAUGAAUUUUGCUUCUUCAUAUGGUCUUUAAGAAUCUCAAAGGCACUGAAGUUUUUUAUCUUUUCUGUCUUAGAAUAAAAAACCUUGAAUGAAAAUCUGCUUCUUGGAAAAGCAGCAAGGUUUAUGCAGAGGCAAUCUGGUAUUUGUGUGCACUGGCAGCUGAUCAUACCCAGCAUGCACGCACUCUCAGGGCAGAGUCUGAUGCCCCACAUAAUGGGGCAUGGUAAGGACUCCCAUGUCCUUGAGAUAAAAUGAUAAGGAAAAUACACACUGCUAUUAGAAUAACAGGCCCAGCUUCUGCACAUUUUAAUUCCCAAAGUUUUCAUGAAAGACAAUGAUUUUUUGGUACCAUGUUUAACUCUACAAGAAUCAGUAGUGAAAACUAAAAAUGAUACUUUGUGAAAGUUCAUUAAUUUUGUUUUCAGCCAGUGGUGGCCUUGGUCAGAUAGAAUCAAAUCUAUGAUACUUUUUAUCAGAAAUGCUUAUACUGUGUACAAACCCAAAGUGAUGGCUUUCAAAGAUUGAAUUUGAUUAUUUUCUGUAUGGUGCAGAUGAAAAAUUACUACACAGGAGAAGGUGGGUUGGAGGUGCUCACGAGUAACCAGGAAACAGUCUGAAGUUUUUCUGAUACUUCUCCUUGGUCCAACCAAAUGUGAGAUAUAAACACAAACUUGGGAUUCCGUUCUUAUGUUUUGGUUGUUUCAGUCUUUACAGAUGUAUCGAAAGGCUGUCCAAAAAUGUCUGACUUCUGUAGUGUGCCUUCGUAGCACUAGAGGGUUCUGCAGCUGUGAAACUGAAGGCAUUGGCAAGAAGCCCUCCAUCUUCAAACCACUUUCUGCUAAGGUGUGGCUCUAUAAAACCACUAUGAGCUGGGCUUCACUGAGACUGAGUUGUUUCAGUAGGAUCUUCCGGAAAAACAUGUUCCCUCCUUUACCUGGGUUGUCAUUCUGAGAACAAUCACACCUCCAAUUUUGGCUUACUAAGCAAUAGCGUUUUAAUGAUUUUAAGCCAGGAUUUGCUCCUCCUUUCCUCAGUAUGAGAGCUUAACCACUGGAGGAACCAAGAAUUCAUGCUGGUUGGGUUCUGAUUCCACUUUAACUUACUGUAUAGCCUCAUCCCUUGUUUUUCUGGAGAUUCUCUUUUUCUGCUUCACUGAUUUAUAUUUACAUUAAAAUCAAAUGAGGCCAUGUUUCUGAAAUCACAUUGUCCCUACAUGGUCAUUACAAUGAGUCUGUAAUGUGACUGAAAGACAGCCAUGGAUACAGGUAGAGGAUAUCAGGCAAUUGAAUGCUCAUCAAGCAUUCAAUUCAGGGCAAAUGGCAUAAGGUAUGCAGUUGGCCUCUUCUGAUAUCUGUGUCUUAAUCCUUUCUUUAGCCUCUGUUUUCUGGACCAAGGCUAAGAUAUUUUCUGGGCACAGUGGCUCAUGCCUAUAAUCCCAGCACUCUGGGAGGCCAAGGUGGGAGGAUUUCUUCAGCCCAGGAGUUCGAGACCAGCCUGGGGAACAUAGGAGACCUCAUUCCUACAAAUAAUAAAAAAAAUUAGCCAGCUCUGGUGGCGUGUGCUUAUUGGUCUCAGCUACUUGGGAGGCUGAGGUGGGAGGACUGCUUGAGCCCAGAAGAUCGCAGCUGCAUUGAGCCAUGAUUGUGCCACUGAACCCUAGCCUGAGCAACAGAGCAAGGCCUUAUCUCAAAAAAAAAAAAAAAUUCUGAGCCUUCUAAUUUUUUUUUUCUUUAAUUAACUUUCUGUAAGCCCAGCAAGUAAAUAAAACACUUAUUUUAUGAAGCAUCUAGUUGCUUUUAGGGGAAGGGACAUCCUCCGCAUAGUAUCUAGGCCAGCUCACUUUCUUCUCCUUACUGUUGAUUUACUCUCUGCCAUUGAAUCUUCUGUGCCAAUGUUGGAUUAAUGUUUCCGGGCCCUACUUUCAUCAUGCUCCUCUGUAUUAUCACCUGUUUUGGUUUACAGCAAUGAUUUUUAAGGUAAGGCAUGGUGUGUCCAUCAUAGUCACAUGGGAACUUUUUCAAGCCAUAUUAAAAAUGUCCCCCAUUCAUCAUUCUGCCCCUGGAACAGUGUGUGCAGUUGGGACCUUCAAGUAAAUCUACUUUGUUGAAACCCACUGAUCAGCAUGGUGUAUUUCAUAACUCUUUGACUUACAUUCAAGAAAUUCCUUAACCUGAACUCCAUUUUACUCUUUUUUUCAUUCAUUCAAAUUAAGAAUAUUGCCUGAACAUGAAUUAUCUGCUAGACGUUUUUCUAGGUGCAGGAGGAGUAAGGAUGAACAUAACUAGCCAUAACUAUAGCUAUCAAUUGUGGAGUGUCUGUUAUGUGCCAGGCACUUUUAAGUGACCUACUCGAUUUACUUGCAUGACAAACUGUGAGGAAAAGCCCAAUAUUAUCCCCUAUUAACAGAUGAGGAAACUGAAGCACAAACAGCAUGAAUAGUUUGUUCCAGAUUGCAUCAUAAGAGGCACAGCCAGCUUUCCUACCAAAGCAGCCCUGGCCCAGAGUCCGUACUCCCUCCUCCCCUGCCUCUGCCUGGUGGAUAAGGUCACCCUGGCCUUGUGGAACUUAUGCUCUAGUGGGGACAAAUAGUUAUAGAGAAUGACCGAUGUUACUAAGAAAAUAAAAGCUGGUAAGAAAACAGAAGCACUGAGGAGGUGACUGAAGUGAGCAUUUAUAAUUUUAUGUUAUAUCCAUUGUAAAAUAUAAGUUUAGCUUUCUCAUACCAGAAGCAGGGCUCAGUCCACCCUUGACUCAGUUUCCAAUACUGUUCCCCAUCAGAAUGGCUCUUGCUGGUGGCCAGAAGUAAAACUUAGAAAUAUCUCUCUCAGAGACACCUAAGCAGGCUGGGCUCCCCGGUUUCCUGUUGCUUCCUUUAAAGAAGCUCUUCAGACAUCUGCACAAGAACUCAAAGUGACCACCUCUCAGCCCAGCAUGACCUACUGGAACUAAUGCCUGCUUGCUUUCAACCUACCAAUUAAAGCUCCCCAGGAAACCUGUUUAGAUAACACCCUGGACCCAAGAAAGGUGCUGGGCCAUGGGUUUCUUCUCUCUCUCCCUAUCUGUGCUCCCUGACCCCCUGUGUGUGUGUGGUCUCUAGGCUUGCCUUCUAUCCCUGAGGGUCUGUAAAUACUAAAAACACUUAAACUUUCAUAUUGUAGUUGUGUCUUUGAAGCCAGGUCCCCAUCCCGUACCUUGAGGGCAAGGCCUCCUGGAAGGGACCCAUGUAGGUGGAUCCCCUGCUGUCCAGGCCUCUUAGCUGCUGGGGUAGUGACCAGUUAAGUGGAUAGAGUUUCAUUCAAAACAAUAAUCAUUCAACUGUAUCUCACAUCAAACCUCUGCUCUAGUUUAUGUAUCUACUUUAUGUUCUUAGAAGACUGUGCAAACACAUUGUCUUUUUUGAGUACCUGUCUUGUCCUAGGUACUCUGCUUGGUACGGGGAGAGACGAAUCUUCUGUCUUCAGGGGCUUCCACUCCAGCAGGGAGAACAUGACUAAUAGUGACUGCCUGCUGCUGUAGGUAAUAAGUGGCUCCCACUAGGCCCUCCAUUUGGUGGCCCCCUGUCCCUCUCACUGGUGGAAGCCUACCUGUCCUCUAAGGACCAGCUCACUAAUGUCCUAGAUCCUCACGGACCAGAUUGCUUUUCUCAGAACUGAAGAGCACUUACUAAUGGCACCUCUUGUCAUAUGCCAUCCCAGGAUUUGAAUUUUUUUUUUUUUUCUGUCUUGUGGCCCAAAUAAAUCCUGAACUCCUCGAGGGCUGGGAGUGUAUCUAGCAGUUUCCUUAUACUGGACUAAUCAGAUGCUGACUAGGUAGCAGUGAGAAAAAUCUAGAAAUUCCCUUUUAGCCACAUCGACUUACACGAGGGGAUGUGUGUAAGGUACUAUAGCUCUUUAAACAAGAGGUGGUCUCGUUUGAAGGGUGGAUUGAUGUGGGUGUUCAAAUGAUGUCACAAGUGGCUGGUUUCUCUGUCUCCAUUUCUUUUUUUUUUGGCUCCAUUUCCAAAUUUCCCAGAUAGCACAGCAAGUUGGCCCCAGCAGCUCUAGACACUCCAUCUUCUCAGGGCAUAGCCAACACAAUAAAAUAUUUCAAGUUCCUGAAAGAUAGCUGAAAUAAGCCCUAGAAGUUUCUGGAUUGGGAGCAGAGCCAAACCUGCCAGCUCACAUAGAUGAGGGCAGGGAAUAGGGUGUCUCACGAUCACAGUGUCCUGCCUUCUGAUUUGCCUGGGACUGUCCUGUUUUGGCACCAAAAAUAUCUGCAUCCUAGGAAACCCUCAGGUCCUGGGCAAAUUCAGACAGUGACUUGCCCUAUCAGAAGCAAAGCAAGGUGCCAUUACCUGAGGUGGGCAAAUUCAGACAGUGACUUGCCCUAUCAGAAGCAAAGCAAGGUUGCCAUUACCUGAGGUGGGCAAAUGGAGGCUGGGUGGCCAGUGAGUGACCAAUAACCCCAGCAUUGGAGAGAGUGGAGCAGCCCUUCAAGAAGUUCCAACCUCUGCCCAGGACUGGUUUUACCAACUUCACUAGGCUUAGAAUCGUAGGAAGUCUAUUUGGGACUUGCGAGUCUCACGUAUUCCUGCCUAAAUGUUUAUGGAUACCUGUUUAGAGCUGAAAUCUUUUCAGCUCCCAUAAUAUGAGGGAAUUAGGUCUCAAAGAAGAUCAUGUAUUUUGAUCAGACCUUAUAGCUGAGCAGUGGAAAGAAAAAAAAUCAGUGUGAGAUCUCCCAGGGUUCCGCAGGAGUGGCUUCCUUAGUCCAACUGGCAGCCUAUCCUGGAAUAUUGCCUGGGAGAGAGGUUAGUUGCUUUUCCUGGUGCUAGGAACUGAAUGGUUUUACAUAUUGAUCAAUGAAAAUACUUAUUUGGCCUACAAUAGGUGCAAAAAUACUGCUAAUUACUAACAGUAUCUCUUCUUUGCUGCGUGCCAGACACUCCACUGGGCAUUAUGCAGUUAAUAUGUACCAUGAAUUUCCCGUGGUUAGCAAUGAUGUCAGGCAUAGAAAAGACAUGAAAUUAUGAUGUCAAAUGAAUAAACUGGAAAAAGGAAUUUCUUGAAUUUUCUCCAGCUGUCCUAAGAAUGUAUCUAUACUUUGAUCCUGGCCUACCUUUUCAACAUCUAAACUUUAUUCCCCCAAGCUUCUAGAUAUUCAAAGUUAAGUAUUAAAUAAAAUCAGUAAAUAUAUACAAGCUUGUUUGGCCAUUCUGAAUAAGGUUAUAUUUCCACCACACAAUCUCCAAAUUCUCUAGCAGAAGGGAUCAGUAUGUUAUAGAUACCCCCUUUCCUUCCCUCCCUGGCAAGCCACCACAUCUGUUAUGGGUACUCAAUGCAGUGGCUGCACCUGGGCCUCACUCAUUAAGCAGUUGUUGAUUGAGUGACUGAAUUGAAUGCCUGAUGAGCUCGCAAGUAAGAUUCAGACUGUGCCUGCAAACUAAUAGGAUCCCUCCGCUUUUUAUUCACUACUGCUGAGGUAGAUCUCAGGCCAGCCUGAAGUUUAGGUCUACUGAGAAAUAAUAAGCCUCAAAAAUCGAGCUUUGCUUCACCCAGUCUCCCAGUAAACACUAAGAAAUGUUCACAUUAUUUACACAUCCUAGACUGCCUGUCUUAUGGACCAAAUGUUUGUGUUCUCCCCGCAAUUUAUACAUUGGAAUCCUAACCCUCAAUGUAAUAGCAUUAGGUGCUGGGGUCUUUGGGAGGUGAUUGGCUAAUGGACCUGGAGCCCUCAUGAUGGGAUGAGUCCCCUUAUCAGAAGAGACCUGAGAAGGCUUGCUUCCUCUCCCUGUGCUCUUCAUGAUGUGAAGACACAAGAAGACAGCCAUCUGUGGGCCAGGAAGAGGUCCUCACUGGAACCCAACCAUGCUGGCACCCCAAUCUUGAAUUUCUAGCUUCAAGAACUUGGGAAAUAAAUGUAAGCCAGCCAGCUUAUGGAUUUGUUACAGCAGCCUAAGCUAAGUCAGAGUCUCUAGAACAGCUGGUCUGGGGCAGCGGUGAAGGGAGGUGGGUGGGCAUAUGACCCUGCCCUGCACAUGAAUGGCAAAGGCAACUGGAGAGCCUCUCCCUUUUGGUGAGAUCCCCAGUCCACAAGGGCAUGUUCAUCCAUAGCUUUACUUCCCGAAGCAAAUUCUGGUUCCUGGGGCCUGUGCCUCCAUAGAUGGCAUGAUCUGCAGCCUCCUGUGGUAAUUUACCCUCUUCCUAAAUUUCUGAGUCUUCACAUUUAAGCAAUCCUAGUUAGAUAUCCUCUACCUGUAUCCAUGGCUGUCUUUCAGUCACAUUACAGACUCAUUGUGAUGACCAUGUAGGGACAAUGUGAUUUCAGAAACAUGGCCUCAUUUGAUUUUAAUGUAAAUAUAAAUCAGUGAAGCAGAAAAAGAGAAUCUCCAGAAAAACAAGGGAUGAGGCUGUACAGCAAGUUAAAGUGGAAUCAGAACCCAACUGUAGUCCAUUAUUUGUUUCAAUCCUGCUCUUUUCUACCAUAUCACCCAGUUUCCAAAUCGUUCAGCAAAUUGCCAUGGUCAAUGGGAUUAACCUUUCCCUUUUAUUCUCAGGAAAUCUCCCUUGUCCAUUUUGCAAGACUGUGUGAUUCUUUCUACUGUUACAAGGAAUAAAAGCCUUCCUAAAAAGGUCUUUGGUGCCUUUAUUAUUUUACGGAUCAUUUCUGAGGGAAUUAUUGAACUUCAUUAUGUAACCACCCCUUGGGUUCACCUUGCCCACUGCCUAGACAGAGCCAAUUUAUCCAGACAGGAGAAUUGCAAUGGAGAAAGAGUAAUUC
rnacentral:lncRNA from 10 species